rnacentral:snRNA from 1 species
AUACUCUGGUUUCUCCUUAAAUCGUAUAAAUCUUUUGCCUUUUACUGAAGAUUUCUGUGGAGACGAACAGCUCUGAGUCUUAAACCAAUUUUUUUUAAGAUCUUGUUUCAGCAAGGCU